AUUGAACGCUGGCGGCAUGCCUUACACAUGCAAGUCGAACGGUAACAGGUUAAGCUGACGAGUGGCGAACGGGCGAGUAAUGUAUCGGAACGUGCCCAGUCGUGGGGGAUAACUGCUCGAAAGAGCAGCUAAUACCGCAUACGACCUGAGGGUGAAAGCGGGGGAUCGCAAGACCUCGCGCGAUUGGAGCGGCCGAUAUCAGAUUAGGUAGUUGGUGGGGUAAAGGCCCACCAAGCCGACGAUCUGUAGCUGGUCUGAGAGGACGACCAGCCACACUGGGACUGAGACACGGCCCAGACUCCUACGGGAGGCAGCAGUGGGGAAUUUUGGACAAUGGGCGCAAGCCUGAUCCAGCCAUGCCGCGUGCGGGAAGAAGGCCUUCGGGUUGUAAACCGCUUUUGUCAGGGAAGAAAAGGUUCUGGCUAAUAUCCGGGACUCAUGACGGUACCUGAAGAAUAAGCACCGGCUAACUACGUGCCAGCCGCCGCAGUAACAC
rnacentral:rRNA from 1 species